AGCUUUGCGCAGUGGCAGUAUCAUAGCCAAUAAGGUCCAACCAAGGCGCGAUUAUUGCUAAUUGU
rnacentral:snRNA from 1 species